AUGAAUUUCAACUUUAGGUACCCAGUCAAGAACAUCAGUUGGCAUGCUCUCAACUAGCGGUGGGGCCUUAUUGCUACAUCUCACAUGCUAGAAGGUAGAAAAGCAGAAGGACAGUUGCUGAAUGAAGCCUCUUGUAUAAUGGCCUCAAUUCUAUACACAAGGAGCCCUCAUGAUCUGAUCAUCUCCUGCUUCUUAAUCCUGUUACCCCGGAGAGACAUGAAUUAUUACAAAGAAGCUGAAAUUGGACAACUGUACUUGAUAACAGUGAGAAGCAGGGGGGCCCUGGAACUCUUUCUUCCUGACACUUUUGAUCCUUCUUCCUGUCGAGAGUCCGUGAAUGCCGUGGAAUCCCCUUCCGUCUCACAGUGUGCGGGAGCACACAGCACACACAGAAUCACCGUGUGAAAGUCUUGAAAAGGUUUUAAACCUCAGACACAAUAGCUCUGAUUGUGGCCGCUCCCCUCUUGCCAAACUGUCUCCAGGCUGCCAAGUGUGAGGGCAGCUGCUGAAGCAUUGUGUUUCGUUAACACCGAACCUGGCCAGUCAGCAGUUUCUUUGAUCUGAAUGACAAUAGGUUAAAAUUAGUGGGCUGAUACCCAUCGCUUUAAGGAGGAAUGAGGUAAGAUAAAGGUACAAAAAAAGUAAAACAAAAGAGAAGAGGAGAGAGACCCGAUGAACGAACGAACGUAAGAGUGACUUCGAGAUCUGAACGGAAGGAGAGGUGGGAAAACAGGUCACGAAAGAAGAAAGGCGCCCCUGGUCUAAAGGGUAAGUCUGUCCGCAAAUGUGUCCUGAUCAAAGUUGUCCUCUGAUUCAACCAACGAAAGUGGGUAGACAGCAGUGACACGUGGAUGCUGAGGCUACCCGAACGUGGCGUAAAGCAUUGUUCGUAAAGGGGUACUGACGCGCAGUUGUAGAAAGGACCUCAGGUGCCCGCAGGCUUUGCCCGGACACCGUUGCCGCUUUCUCCAGCAUUGCAAUUGAGAGUUACAUGGAGUGAGCGCGACUUUGGUCGGAACCUGGAGCGUCCUCCGAGGCGGCAGCACCGCGGCCACGGCAACAGGCGCGGCG